GAGUUUGAUCUUGGCUCAGAUUGAACGCUGGCGGCAUGCUUUACACAUGCAAGUCGAACGGAUCUAGGGGCUUGCUCCUAGGUUAGUGGCGAACGGGUGAGUAAUGCAUCGGAACGUACCGUGUAGUGGGGGAUAACCCGGCGAAAGUCGGAUUAAUACCGCAUACGAUCUACGGAUGAAAGCGGGGGACCUUAGGGCCUCGCGCUAUACGAGCGGCCGAUGUCGGAUUAGCUAGUUGGUGAGGUAAAGGCUCACCAAGGCGACGAUCCGUAGCGGGUCUGAGAGGAUGAUCCGCCACACUGGGACUGAGACACGGCCCAGACUCCUACGGGAGGCAGCAGUGGGGAAUUUUGGACAAUGGACGCAAGUCUGAUCCAGCCAUGCCGCGUGAGUGAAGAAGGCCUUCGGUUGU
rnacentral:rRNA from 1 species